UAAUUGAAGAGUUUGAUCAUGGCUCAGAUUGAACGCUGGCGGCAGGCCUAACACAUGCAAGUCGAGCGGUAACAGGGGAAGCUUGCUUCUCGCUGACGAGCGGCGGACGGGUGAGUAAUGUAUGGGGAUCUGCCCGAUAGAGGGGGAUAACCACUGGAAACG
rnacentral:rRNA from 1 species